rnacentral:lncRNA from 1 species
UUUUUGGUUACAUGGAUGAAUUACAUAGUGGUGAAUUCUGAGAUUUUAGUGCACCCAUCACCUGGGUAGUGUACACUGUAGCCAAUAUGUAGUUUUUAUCCCACAUCCCCCUUCUACUCUCCUCCUCCUGAGUCUACAAAGUCCAUUAUGUCACUGUGUGUCUUUGCUUACUCAUAGUUCAGCUCCCACUUCUAAGUGAGAACAAAUGGUAUUUGAUUUUCCAUUCCUGAGUUGUUUCACUUAGAAUAAUGGCUUCCAGCUCUAUUCAAGUUGCCACAAAAGAUACUGCUUCCUUCCUUUUUAUGGCUGAAUGGUAUCCCAGGAUGUAUAUAUACAUUUUCUUUAUCCAUUCAUUGGUCAAUGGGCACUUACGUUGGUUCCAUGUCUUUGCAAUUGUGAAUUGGGCUGCAAUAAACAUAUAUGUUCAGGUGUCUUUUUCAUAUAAUGACUUAUUUUCCUUUGGGUAGAUACUCAGUAGUGGGAUUGCUGGAUUGAAUGGUAGAUUUACUCUCAGUUCUUUAAGGAAUCUCCAUACUGUUUUCCAUAGAGGUUGUACUAAUUUACAUUCCCACCAGCAGUGUAUAAGCGUUCCCCUUUCGCCAUAUUCACACUAACAUCUAUUGUUUUUUGACUUUUUAAUACUGGCCAUUGUUGCAGGAGUAAGGUGGUAUCUGACUGUGGCUGUAAUUUGCGUUUGCCUGAUGAUUAGUGAUGUUGAGCAUUUCCUCAUAUGUUUAUUGGCUAUUUGUAUAUCUUCUUUUGAGAAAUGUCUGUCCAUGUCAUUUGCCCACUUUUUGAUGGGAUUAUUUCUGACAACAUUUUUGAAGGAUAAUUUUGGCUGCUGAAUAAAAUACAGAGUGACAGAGGUAGAAGAAAUAGGGAGGCCAGUUACGUGACAUUGAUGGCUUGGACUAGGAACUUAUGCUAGGAGUCAUUUCUGGGCUUUAUUCUUCAGUUAGGAAUGGACUAGGAACUUAUGCUAGGAGUCAUUUCUGGGCUUUAUUCUUCAGUUAGGAAUAUAGACUAUGAUCAGUUAUCAUUUGCCUCAAAAUGUCAUUUAUAAUUAGUUUGAUUUAUAAAUCAAAAUAAUUUGUAUUUAUUAUUUAUAUGAUUUUUUAGCUAUGACUUUUAAUAUUUCUUCAAUUUAAGCUCUUCUCCAGCAUAAUUCUGACUCAGUGCCUGAACCUUCCUUUUCACUUAGAACCAGGCAAUUCCUGAAGCAUUCUGGUUAAAGAUACACUGCAAGGAAUGCAGCUUCUCUGACAUUGAGGGUGCGGUUUUUAUAAUCAACAUGAAUAAUUCAGCAGUGCAUUAUUUGUGCUUUAUUAUCGUUUACUUCAACUUGAAGUUAUGGACUUUUUUUUAAUCAGCAGAAGCUCAUCCAUCACUCUGCAUCCCUUGCAUCUACCAGGUUAUAAAAUUCGCUAUUUAUAGCAACAAUUGAGACGUGAAAUGAGAAUGAGUAUUUUGUUCCUCUGACAUCUAACCUUAGGUCAAGCACAGGAUCUAGAGAUGGAUUUUUACAGGAAGUGAAAUGAAAGCACAUUGCUGGAGAUUAAUGCCAGUCUGGGUGCUCAAGGGAAUGCCCUCUCUGGCUGCUUCCCAGAAGAAAAAUGGUAAGUAAUGUGGAUUGUGUGUCAAAUCUACAGAGUGGGUGGCAGUGGAAUGACGGACAGGACGCCCGAGUGGUCUGGCAUCAGAGUGCAUGAGGCUAAUUUUCUCAAAAUGAGUUAUGAUCUCCUAAAAUCCUGUUCAGAGACU